GUGCCAGCAGCCGCGGUAAUACGUAGGUGGCAAGCGUUGUCCGGAUUUAUUGGGCGUAAAGCGAGCGCAGGCGGUUUCUUAAGUCUGAUGUGAAAGCCUUCGGCUCAACCGAAGAAGUGCAUCGGAAACUGGGAAACUUGAGUGCAGAAGAGGACAGUGGAACUCCAUGUGUAGCGGUGAAAUGCGUAGAUAUAUGGAAGAACACCAGUGGCGAAGGCGGCUGUCUGGUCCGUAACUGACGCUGAGGCUCGAAAGCAUGGGUAGCAAACAGGAUUAGAUACCCUGGUAGUCCAUGCCGUAAACGAUGAGUGCUAGGUGUUGGAGGGUUUCCGCCCUUCAGUGCCGCAGCUAACGCAUUAAGCACUCCGCCUGGGGAGUACGACCGCAAGGUUGAAACUCAAAGGAAUUGACGGGGGCCCGCACAAGCGGUGGAGCAUGUGGUUUAAUUCGAAGCAACGCGAAGAACCUUACCAGGUCUUGACAUCCUUUGACCACUCUAGAGAUAGAGCUUUCCCUUCGGGGACAAAGUGACAGGUGGUGCAUGGUUGUCGUCAGCUCGUGUCGUGAGAUGUUGGGUUAAGUCCCGCAACGAGCGCAACCCUUAUUACUAGUUGCCAGCAUUUAGUUGGGCACUCUAGUGAGACUGCCGGUGACAAACCGGAGGAAGGUGGGGACGACGUCAAAUCAUCAUGCCCCUUAUGACCUGGGCUACACACGUGCUACAAUGGAUGGUACAACGAGUCGCGAGACCGCGAGGUUUAGCUAAUCUCUUAAAACCAUUCUCAGUUCGGAUUGUAGGCUGCAACUCGCCUACAUGAAGCCGGAAUCGCUAGUAAUCGCGGAUCAGCAUGCCGCGGUGAAUACGUUCCCGGGCCUUGUACACACCGCCCGU
rnacentral:rRNA from 1 species